rnacentral:rRNA from 1 species
AUUGAACGCUGGCGGCGUGCUUAACACAUGCAAGUCGAACGAGAACGGGCUAUAGCUUGCUAUAGUUGUCAGCUAAGUGGCGCACGGGUGAGUAAUGUAUAGGUAAUAUGCCUCUUACUAAGGGAUAACAAAUGGAAACGUUUGCUAAUACCUUAUACUCCUUAUUAACAGAAGUUAAUAAGGGAAAGAUUUAUUGGUAAGAGAUUAGCCUGUAUUGUAUCAGUUAGUUGGUGGGGUAAUGGCUUACCAAGACUAUGACACAUAACUGGUUUGAGAGGAUGAUCAGUCCAACUGGAACUGAGACACGGUCCAGACUCCUACGGGAGGCAGCAGUGGGGAAUAUUGCACAAUGGACGAAAGUCUGAUGCAGCAACGCCGCGUGGAGGAUGACACAUUUCGGUGCGUAAACUCCUUUUAUAUGAGAAGAUAAUGACGGUAUUAUAUGAAUAAGCACCGGCUAACUCCGUGCCAGCAGCCGCCGUAA